AUAUAAAUAGUUUAUAAAGAAUAUCAACUUGUGGUGUUGGAGGUGUAUUUGUGCUUUAUAUC
rnacentral:tRNA from 1 species